GACGAACGCUGGCGGCGUGCUUAACACAUGCAAGUCGAACGAAGAGCGAUGGACGCUUGCUUCUAUCAAUCUUAGUGGCGCACGUGUGAGUAACGCGUAAUCAACCUGCCCUUCAGAGGGGGACCACAGUUGGAAACGACUGCUAAUACCGCAUACGAUCUGACCUCGGCAUCGAGGAUAGAUGAAAGGUGGCCUCUACAUGUCAGCUAUCACUGAAGGCGGGGAUUGCGUCUGAUUAGCUAGUUGGAGGGGUAACGGCCCACCAAGGCGAUGAUCAGUAGCCGGUCUGAGAGGAGGAACGGCCACAUUGGGACUGAGACACGGCCCAGACUCCUACGGGAGGCAGCAGUGGGGAAUCUUCCGCAAUAGACGAAAGGCUGACGGAGCAACGCCGCGUGAGGGAUGACGGCCUUCGGGUUGUAAAGCUCUGUUAAUCGGGACGAAAGGCCUUUUUGCGAAUAGUGAGAAGGAUUGACGGUACCGGAAUAGAAAGCCACGGCUAACUACGUG
rnacentral:rRNA from 1 species